CGCUGUGACAACUUUGUCGCCUGGAGCUCAGGAACAACAAAGGAUAGUAGACUACGGACAAGGACCAGCAUUAAGCUGCAUGGAAAUAUUUUUAAAAAAUAAGGUUGAAUGAUUGCUGACAGUAGCAUUGAUAAGAAUAAUGGCGCAUUAGCUGCAAACGUCGAUCCAUGAACUAUUUCAUCGGGUCAUAGGAAAAAUUAUACAGGCGAAACUUAUUCCAUCCAACACAAAAGAAAUCUAUUACAUCAUAUUUAUAGAGUGAAAGAGUUUCUCCAAUGGACUAAAUAGCUUCAAUACCGAUUUUAUCAAUCAACGACAUCAAAUGAUUUACCUACAAUUGAUUAUACCAAUAAUAAUAAUUAUUAUUUAAAUUAUCUUUUUAUUUAAUAAUUUUUAUAUCAUCUAAUAUGAACAGUCUAAUUAUAUCGAUCGAUUACGAGCUUGCUCGUAAUUUAUUUUGAUGAAUUAAAAUAUUGUCGGAGAGUGUAACUAAUGAAAGUAUGUAGAUUACCACAUAAUUUCUUUGUGUACAUUACUUUCUCAUGUAUAUUUUCCAGCAUUAUUUAAGUUCAUUCAACAAAUUAUCUAUGUAAAGAUGUAAAGAAUUGACGUAGGCAGAAAAGUCAUUAAGCAAAUUACAUUAAAUCCAUAGCUACUCCUGUUAAUAGUAUUCUAAUUCAUUUAACAUAUUAAUUACUAGUAAGAUUUUAGUUUACUUUUGGAAAUUGAAAUAC